AGCGAACGCUGGCGGCAUGCCUAACACAUGCAAGUCGCACGGGGGGGCUUCGGCCUCCCAGUGGCGGACGGGUGAGGAGCGCGUAGGGACCUGUCGAGGGGUGGGGGAUAACCGCGGGAAACUGCGGCUAAUACCGCAUGACGCCGCGGCGUGACAGCCGGGGCCAAAGGCGAAAGCCGCCCGCCGAGGGGCCUGCGUCCGAUUAGCUGGUUGGCGGGGUAGCGGCCCACCAAGGCGUCGAUCGGUAGCUGGUCUGAGAGGGUGAUCAGCCACACCGGGACUGAGACACGGCCCGGACUCCUACGGGAGGCAGCAGUGGGGAAUAUUGGACAAUGGGCGCAAGCCUGAUCCAGCAAUGCCGCGUGGGUGAAGAAGGUCUUCGGAUUGUAAAGCCCUUUCGGCGGGGACGAUGGUGACGGUACCCGCAGAAGAAGCCCCGGCUAACUUCGUG
rnacentral:rRNA from 1 species